rnacentral:rRNA from 1 species
ACGAACGUUGGCGGCGUGCCUAAUACAUGCAAGUCGAGCGAGAACGGCGGGGCAACUCGCCUAGUAAAGCGGCGAGAGGGUGCGUAAUACAUGGAGAACAUACCCCUCGGUUCGGGAUAACCCAGCGAAAGCUGGACUAAUACCGGGAGACGUCUCGGGAGGGCAUCCUUCUGGGGCCAAAGCUUCACGCGCCGGGGGAGUGCUCCAUGGCCUAUCAGCUAGUUGGCGGGGUAACGGCCCACCAAGGCUGUGACGGGUAGCCGGACUGAGAGGUCGACCGGCCACAUGGGCACUGAGACACGGGCCCAACAUCUACGGAUGGCAGCAGUAGGGAAUCUUGCGCAAUGGGCGAAAGCCUGACGCAGCGACGCCGCGUGGAGGACGAAGGCCUUCGGGUUGUAAACUCCUUUCGGGGGGGAAGAACACUGACCUAACCCCCAGAAGAAGCACCGGCUAACUCCGU